rnacentral:rRNA from 1 species
CCUACGGGAGACAGCAGUGAGGAAUAUUGGUCAAUGGGCGCUAGCCUGAACCAGCCAAGUAGCGUGAAGGAUGACUGCCCUAUGGGUUGUAAACUUCUUUUAUAUGGGAAUAAAGUGCAGUAUGUAUACUGCUUUUCAUGUACCUUAUGAAUAAGGAUCGGCUAACUCCGUGCCAGCAGCCGCGGUAAUACGGAGGAUCCGAGCGUUAUCCGGAUUUAGUGGGUUUAAAGGGAGCGUAGGCGGGUUGUUACGUCAUUUGUGAAAGUUUGCGGCUCAACCGUAAAAUUGCAGUUGAUACUGGCAUCCUUGAGUACAGUAGAGGUAGGCGGAAUUCGUGGUGUAGCGGUGAAAUGCUUAGAUAUCACGAAGAACUCCGAUUGCGAAGGCAGCCUGCUGGACUGUAACUGACGCUGAUGCUCGAAAGUGUGGGUAUCAAACAGGAUUAGAUACCCUUGUAGUC